GCUACAGCAGUCGUAAGGGAUGCCGAAGACAUGUGAAGCGGCUUCCUGGAGAAAGACACUAAAACUCUCAGCAAAGACAGAGUGCGGAAGAGAGGAACCCCCUGGGAACCGGGGAGCCUCGAGGGCCUGCCCUGUGCCACGGCCUCACCUAUCAGCUACCAGGGCUGGAAGUGUUGUAAGACAGCCAUGAUGGUCUUUCCAACAAAACGUAUUGUAAAGCUGCAGUAGAGCUAAGGUGAAGAGAAAGAGCUGUUCGGCUUCAUCAGACGGCUCCAGAGUCACCGUGUAUUCAGAUGCUGGGAUAACAACAAUAACCAAGAGCAGCCAAGACCAACUCAGCACGAAAUGAAGACAUGCAGACACCAUCAGAAGAUCAGUUUAUGAAAAAGCCAAAAACUCCUCCAUAGCGACACGUGAACAGGAGGGAAAAACAAGAAAUCACGAGGUAUCACACAAGAGGCUACAACAUUCUCCAAAGGAAAUGACUUCUCCUGAGAGUAUGAGAAAAAUCAGCUGGCAAAGAACUGUCUUCAUCAUUAUUUUAAAACUAAGCUACUACUUCUAAAAGGCGUUUAACACUGCACAGUGACACUCUGCAUUUGCACCCUAAGCAUCCAAACCAAUUUUGAGCAAAUCUGACAAUCAGAUGGAAAAGCUGAUCUCAGAGCUCUCGUUCCAAGCUCCCUUCCAGACCAAGUCCUACGGCUCCGCCAUGAACAGGACAAGAGCAAGGGCAUCGGGCACUGACACUCGAAAUGCCGACAGGCAAAUGCCAAGAAGGCCCACUUUUACCCAUGUGCGUCACAUACCGCAAAUUCGAAAGUUCAGCAAACAAAGAAAUUUUUUCUAGAAUUUCACAACAGAGACAAGUGGAGGUAGCAAAAGCAUGGUAAGGGGCAGAUGGUGGCCUAGCAUGGGAGCCACCAGCUACAGCACCCACGUCCCACACCAGAGGGCCUGGCUCAACUUCCUGCUACUGCAGACCCGGGAGGCAGCACAAGACCCACGAGGGGAGAUCUGGACUGAGUUCCCAGCUAGGUUUGUUGUGGUUAUCUGGGGAGUGAGAAGAUGCCUCUCAAUUAAAUUUAUUUUUCAAAGAUUAUAUUUAUUUAUUUGAGAGGUAGAGUUAUAGACAGAGGGAGAGACAGAGAGAAAGGUCCUCCAUCCACUGGUUCACUCUCCAAAUGGCCUCAAUGGCCAGGGCUGAGCAGACCUGAAGCCAGGAGUCAGGAGUCAGGAGCUUCUUCAGGGUCUCCCACAUGGGCACAGGGGCCCAAGCACUCGCGCCAUUUCCCACUGCUCUCCCAGGCCAUGGCAGAGAGCUGGAUCGGAAGAGGAGCAGCCGGGACUAGAACUAGCAUCCCAACCCAAAUGGGAUGCUGGUGCCACAGAUGGAGGCUUAGCCCACUAUGCUACAGCACAAGCUGAUAACAAUAUUUUUAAAUGUAGCCUUUACAACAUUAAAGAAACAUAUGAGACUCAUUUAUCUUCAUGACAGAAAAGUUUUAACUGAAGAAUGGCAAUAUUUGGUAAAUUUAGUCAACUCUUACUGACCUGCGUUAUCUACAGGCUCUCAGAGACUCCAGGAACAUGAAUGCAAGACUACUUAACAUUUCAAGAUAUUUUAACCUUAGCAACAUUGAUCUUUGAAUAAAUUUCAUAUGUUUUGAUAAUAAAGCAUGUAGAAGUUUUAAGGCCAUUCAUGGGAUUUCAGCCUCUGAAGUCUACUUGCUGGCCAGUCCCCUCCCACCUGCUGGGCGGGCACCUGGCCCGGCAGUCGAGCCUCCGCCGGGAUGCCCACAGCUGGCACGGAGCGCUGAGUUCAAGGCCCUGCUCUGCUUCCACUCCCCGCUUCCUGCGAACGCACAGCCAGGCAGCAGCGAGCGAUCAAGUACUUGGCUCCCUGCUGCCCACAUGGUGCAGGCAACUGGGGAGCGAACCAGAGAACAGGAGCUCAGUCUGUGUGUGUCUCUCUCCGCCUCUCAGAUAACUAAACGAAAUUUCAAGAUACAAAAAGGACGAUUUCCUCUCUAGACUUACAACGUGUCUUCUUUUGCUUUUUCAGCAGCGCUGUGCAGGGUUCAGAUCAGCAGGUGUUGGUGGAGCUCACUUCAGGCACCAGCUGCCACCGCAGCCAGACAGCGUCACUGGAACUGUGACCGCACUCACGGGGCUCCAGAGCCCAGCGCUUUGGCCUGCAGGUUUCACCAAACCAGACAGGUACUCCAACACGCCACAUCCAAGCACCAGCUACAGUCUCCCGGAUCUGCACUCGAGUGUGAGGGAAAUCCUGACCCUGGAAGCACCACAGGCAUCAGGCUAGCCAUCAUUUUGAAAGUCAGUGACUCAGUUAUCCAUCUCACUCGGGAGGCUGGCAACAGACGAAGUCUGACAUCAACCUCACACUCAGCCUAAUCUUGACCAAGCAGUGAAUCUAGUAGCCCGAGACCACAGCUCACACACACAGAGCAGCGUGCCUGUUCUCACCCAGCCCCACCUCCUCCCGCCCCUCCCAGAACUGAGACUCAGGAACCACGCACAGAGCUCGUUCAACAGGCGCUGCUUUGUUUUUGCAGUCUACCAUUAUUGCAGCCCUGCAAAGAAACAGUAAAAUUCCCCACAGGUCCCCCGUCAGCUGGGGGCUACUGCACUACUGCACGGUGUUCACAACGGGUUUGCUCUGCUCGUUUGCAGCCCAGAGGCACACACAGAAAUGCCCAAUCGCUUCCCCCACGCCCGCCCAGCUGGUAUCUUCCAUAGCACUGCACAGACCUGGAAAACUUCUGCCCUGACAGCAGGUGUGCUAUCAGUGAACUGCCCAGUGAAUAAGGCUGAGGGAACAUCAGGACAAGCACCCGCCUGCACCCGAGAGGGCCUCCUGCAAGCCUGGGACACCCCGCCCCAAGCCCCUGGAUCUGCCUCCCUGCACAGCCAGCAGACAGGCCUCAGGGACCGUCUUCCCGCGGUCCCUGCUCUCCCGGUGGCCCCUGCACAGACUUCACAGGGCCCCAACAGCUACAGCUGCACUCUUCCAGAAUGGCUUCGGCAGCCCAGAACCCACGCCCCCUUUCCCAUGGGAGCGGCUCACAUGUCACCCACGCUGUGGGCUGUGCGCGUGGCCUGCUCUGGGUGGCGUCAAAAACCUCACCAAUGAUCCCACACAGGGCACCACCAAAAAGAAGUUCAAAGUCAGCCUGGAAAACUGCUCAACUGUGGAUAACAAAGUCUCUCUAAACAAAACACAGAAUUCACUUGGUAAAAUGAAGCCCUUAAAUUAUAAUGUAGAUUUCAGAAGGCAUUUAAAAUGAAGCCCUUAACCUACAAAGCCUUCCCAAACAUAUUGAAAAUCACAAUGGCAGUUUUAGUCAAAACCAAACAAAAACAGUUUUGUUCACAAGUCCUAGGUGCUCUUUUGGGCAACAAAUUGUCCCCUGGACUGAACGACUUUGGGACUUCAAACUCGUCGAAGGGCGACCCCCUCUCAGCCCAGGGCUGUGGACAGCAUGGCCUGGCUGCUGCACCUCCCAGCAUUCAGUGCAGUUACCUACAGCCCCAGACCAGCCCGCUUGGAGUGGUCAUGUAUCACUGGUAAAGCCGAGAACGGGCCCGCAGAAUAACCCAAGACCAGCGUACAGAAAUGGAUAAAAUGUGGUAAUAAGACAUCAACGGGCCCGCAGAAUAACCCAGGACCAGAGUACAGAAAUGGUUGCAAUGUGAUAAUAAGACAUCAAUGGGCCCACAGAAUAACCCAAGCCCGGAGUACAGAAGCAGAUGCAAUGUGGUAAUAAGACAUCAAUGGGCCUGCAGAA